rnacentral:rRNA from 1 species
AGAGUUUGAUCAUGGCUCAGGAUGAACGCUGGCGGCGUGCUUAACACAUGCAAGUCGAACGAAGCAGUUUUGAAGAAGCCUUCGGGUGGAAUUGAGAUUGACUGAGUGGCGGACGGGUGAGUAACGCGUGGGUAAUCUGCCUCAUACAGGGGGAUAACAGUUAGAAAUGACUGCUAAUACCGCAUAAGCGCACAGAGCUGCAUGGCUCAGUGUGAAAAACUCCGGUGGU